rnacentral:rRNA from 1 species
GACAGAGGGUGCAAACGUUGUUCGGAAUUACUGGGCGUAAAGCGAGUGUAGGCGGUUUCCUAAGUCAGGUGUGAAAGCCCCGGGCUCAACCCGGGAAGUGCACUUGAAACUGGGAGGCUAGAGUAUCGGAGAGGUUGGUGGAAUUCUCGGUGUAGAGGUGAAAUUCGUAGAUAUCGAGAGGAAUACCGGUGGCGAAGGCGGCAUCCUGGACCGGCAUUGACGCUGAGGAGCGAAAGCCAGGGGAGCAAACGGG